rnacentral:lncRNA from 10 species
AGCAUACCAAAAUGUGUCUGGAAUUGGUGGGUUCUUGGUCUUACUGACUUUAAGAAUGAAGUUGCGGACUUUUGCGCUAAAAGAAAAUGCAUUCUGCCAACAACUAAUGAGCUUGGAAGAGAACUCCAAACCCCAGAAGAGGCCUGUCACAUUGGCUAACACCUUGAUUUCCACCCACUGAGACCUUGAGCAGAGACUUCAGUUACACCCCACCCAGACUUCUGACCUGCAAAACUCUCCAGAGGGAAGUGAGAAGGAUGUUCACUUGCUGGUGAGAGAAGGAGCUGGUUCCAUCCAUUACGCAGUCCCCUGGGAGCGCUAAAUGCAACUUUAUCUCAACGGGGAGUGGACGAUGAGCAGGACGUCGCUAGAGGGAAAGAGCCUCACUUCCCGUUUCCUUUGGCAGCGCCCUUUUCCCGACCUAAGGGAGCAGACCUUCGUUGGUUGGCGUGAGGACUGGCGGGAGAGGUUUUGUGCCAGGAUCCGCACUG